AGAACAAAUCAUACUGCAUGUGGUGAGAAAGCAUCUGUGGUGUGCAGGAUUUAGUCUUUAUAAGAGGAGAAUUCAUCCCUACAUUGUCACUAUCUGAGUGCUGGUGUUUCAGAGCCCUCUCCAGCUGAGCUGACACUUUCCUUCUCUGCUUCUACCCUUCCUUUUUUCUUUCUCCUAUUCUUCAUCCCUCUCUUUCUUUUGUCCCAUCUCUCUGUUUUUCUCUCUGUGCACAAUCAGCCAGACAAACUGUUAAACAACAGCAGGCAUCUAGUCAGACAGCUCGGACAAAGCAGAAGGACCUCAAGGGCCUGAUGGAGACAGGAAAGGAAAAAAGGGAAAGGGCAAGUGUGGCUGCUACAGUGUGUGUCAGACAGGACUGUCCCAGCUCAUCCACAUCAACCUCGUACACGGUUUCUCCCUCCUACGCUGAAUCUUUCUGGGUAUUAGUUCUCCAAUUUCUUGCAUCUUCCCUUUUACACAUCAUACUUACACCCUUUUUGGACUGAAAACCUUCAAUUUAGCUUGCCAAUUACAGGUCUUUUGUAUUUUCUACGAUGCUUUAAGGGUGAUGCAUUAUUCAGACAUUUUUCUUGAUCACAUGGGACGUCAGGGAAAGCACAAAGACCAGAGAGCGAAGUGCUCGAUUAGUGGAGUUUAAA